rnacentral:lncRNA from 1 species
CAGAAGAGAAAGUCAGAGAUUCGAAGCCCGAGGAUGCCAAGUACCUUUGCUGGCUUCGAGAUCGAAGGGCCGUGUAGCAAGGAUGUGGGUAGACUCUAGAGCUGAGAGCGAGCUGACACUCAGCAAGGAAACAGGACCUCAGUCCUACAAUCUCAAAGACCUGAAUUCUGCUGAGAACAAGGAUGCCCUUAAACAUGGAUUUUUUUCCAGAGGCCCCCAAAAAUCUUGGCCUGACCCUCAUCUUCUGAGCAGAAAACCCAGCUAUGCUGUGAUUGGACUUCUGACCUACACAACUCUGAGCUUAUGAAGAGGCUCUUCGGGGUCACUCAGGGGAAGGAAGCCUGUGCUGCUCCCACCCAGAGGGCCUGCCUUGGAGUGCUUUGCAUGCUGCCUCACCCCGCCAGCACUGCCUCUGCACAGCCUGGACCUCCUCAGAAAGGACUAGAUGCUGGACUCUACAUCCAGGAAAGAAGCCACUAGCACCUCUGCCAUAUAACAAUUUGAGGAUUUGCAGACCUAGCUUGAAGUCAAAAGGCAAGGAAGAUUAGCCCUGAGCUAACUGCUGCCAAUCCUCCUCUUUUUGCUGAGAAAGACUGGCCCUGAGCUAACAUCUGUGCCCAUCUUCCUCUACUUUACGUGUGGGACGCCUGCCGCAGCAUGGCUUGUCAAGUGGUGCCAUGUCCCCACCCGGAACCCGAACUGGCGAACCCUGGGCUGCUGAGAAGCAGAACGUGGGCACUUAACUGCUGUGCCACGGGGCUGGCCUGAGAAUCUUUCACAUUCUGAGAGAACUACGAAAGAAGAUUGAGGACUGGAAAUAGAAUUGUUUAGAUAUAAAUCUGCACUUAUGCCCAAUUCUUUCUCUUCGAUUACUACAAAAUUUCCUGAUCAUUCACUCUUUCUGUCAUUUCCCAGCUCCAGAAAUGAAGUCUACAGCCAGCGGUUGGCCUUCUGUGCACCUGGUGAGUCUUAACUAACACCAAGGAGCCAACAAGGGGAGAGGUUGUAAUUUUGGAAGAGCAAAGGGUAGAUAAAGACUGUCUGUGGAUGCAUUUGAGUAAAGAUCUUUAGAAUGCAAGAGAGCAAGCUAUACAGGUAUCUGAGGGAAAAGCAUUUCCAGCAGAAGGAAUAGAAAAUGCAAAGUCUUUGAGGCACGUUUGAGGAAGGGAAGAAAGCUAGAAUGGCUGGAGCAGAGUAAGCUAGAGGCAGAAUAGUAGAAGUGGAUUAUAAAAUAUUGUGUAAUUUAAAAGAAUGUUUACAUUUAACAAAUUAAAAUUUAAAAUGGAAAUACAAUGUAAUAUAACCAUGCUUUCCACAAGAUAAUUACAAUAAUUAUUCAAAA